rnacentral:rRNA from 1 species
CCCUUUGGGUGUGACUGCGUACCUUUUGUAUAAUGGGUCAGCGACUUAUAUUCUGUAGCAAGGUUAACCGAAUAGGGGAGCCGGAGGGAAACCGAGUCUUAACCGGGCGUUAAGUUGCAGGGUAUAGACCCGAAACCCGGUGAUCUAGCCAUGGGCAGGUUGAAGGUUGGGUAACACUAACUGGAGGACCGAACCGACUAAUGUUGAAAAAUUAGCGGAUGACCUGUGGCUGGGGGUGAAAGGCCAAUCAAACCGGGAGAUAGCUGGUUCUCCCCGAAAGCUAUUUAGGUAGCGCCUCGUGAAUUCAUCUCCGGGGGUAGAGCACUGUUUCGGCUAGGGGGCCAUCCCGGCUUACCAACCCGAUGCAAACUGCGAAUACCGGAGAAUGUUAUCACGGGAGACACACGGCGGGUGCUAACGUCCGUCGUGAAGAGGGAAACAACCCAGACCGCCAGCUAAGGUCCCAAAGUCAUGGUUAAGUGGGAAACGAUGUGGGAAGGCCCAGACAGCCAGGAUGUUGGCUUAGAAGCAGCCAUCAUUUAAAGAAAGCGUAAUAGCUCACUGGUCGAGUCGGCCUGCGCGGAAGAUGUAACGGGGCUAAACCAUGCACCGAAGCUGCGGCAGCGACACUGUGUGUUGUUGGGUAGGGGAGCGUUCUGUAAGCCUGUGAAGGUGUGUCGUGAGGCAUGCUGGAGGUAUCAGAAGUGCGAAUGCUGACAUAAGUAACGAUAAAGCGGGUGAAAAGCCCGCUCGCCGGAAGACCAAGGGUUCCUGUCCAACGUUAAUCGGGGCAGGGUGAGUCGACCCCUAAGGCGAGGCCGAAAGGCGUAGUCGAUGGGAAACGGGUUAAUAUUCCCGUACUUGGUGUUACUGCGAAGGGGGGACGGAGAAGGCUAUGUUGGCCGGGCGACGGUUGUCCCGGUUUAAGCGUGUAGGCUGGUUUUCCAGGCAAAUCCGGAAAAUCAAGGCUGAGGCGUGAUGACGAGGCACUACGGUGCUGAAGCAACAAAUGCCCUGCUUCCAGGAAAAGCCUCUAAGCAUCAGGUAACAUCAAAUCGUACCCCAAACCGACACAGGUGGUCAGGUAGAGAAUACCAAGGCGCUUGAGAGAACUCGGGUGAAGGAACUAGGCAAAAUGGUGCCGUAACUUCGGGAGAAGGCACGCUGACACGUAGGUGAAGUGAUUUACUCAUGGAGCUGAAGUCAGUCGAAGAUACCAGCUGGCUGCAACUGUUUAUUAAAAACACAGCACUGUGCAAACACGAAAGUGGACGUAUACGGUGUGACGCCUGCCCGGUGCCGGAAGGUUAAUUGAUGGGGUCAGCGCAAGCGAAGCUCCUGAUCGAAGCCCCGGUAAACGGCGGCCGUAACUAUAACGGUCCUAAGGUAGCGAAAUUCCUUGUCGGGUAAGUUCCGACCUGCACGAAUGGCGUAAUGAUGGCCAGGCUGUCUCCACCCGAGACUCAGUGAAAUUGAACUCGCUGUGAAGAUGCAGUGUACCCGCGGCAAGACGGAAAGACCCCGUGAACCUUUACUAUAGCUUGACACUGAACAUUGAGCCUUGAUGUGUAGGAUAGGUGGGAGGCUUUGAAGUGUGGACGCCAGUCUGCAUGGAGCCGACCUUGAAAUACCACCCUUUAAUGUUUGAUGUUCUAACGUGGACCCGUUACCCGGGUUGCGGACAGUGUCUGGUGGGUAGUUUGACUGGGGCGGUCUCCUCCUAAAGAGUAACGGAGGAGCACGAAGGUUGGCUAAUCCUGGUCGGACAUCAGGAGGUUAGUGCAAUGGCAUAAGCCAGCUUGACUGCGAGCGUGACGGCGCGAGCAGGUGCGAAAGCAGGUCAUAGUGAUCCGGUGGUUCUGAAUGGAAGGGCCAUCGCUCAACGGAUAAAAGGUACUCCGGGGAUAACAGGCUGAUACCGCCCAAGAGUUCAUAUCGACGGCGGUGUUUGGCACCUCGAUGUCGGCUCAUCACAUCCUGGGGCUGAAGUAGGUCCCAAGGGUAUGGCUGUUCGCCAUUUAAAGUGGUACGCGAGCUGGGUUUAGAACGUCGUGAGACAGUUCGGUCCCUAUCUGCCGUGGGCGCUGGAGAACUGAGGGGGGCUGCUCCUAGUACGAGAGGACCGGAGUGGACGCAUCACUGGUGUUCGGGUUGUCAUGCCAAUGGCACUGCCCGGUAGCUAAAUGCGGAAGAGAUAAGUGCUGAAAGCAUCUAAGCACGAAACUUGCCCCGA